rnacentral:lncRNA from 1 species
UUAUGCUCAAACAUAUAUAAGUCAUUUUCGCAUGGCUAUAUACAUUAACCAAAAUAUUCUUCCGCCACUAGUCUAUUUUAUACAUGCCAUAAGACAAUCCGAAACAUAGCAGUACCAAACAGUGGAUAGUGAUAGUGUGACUAGUUGCUGACGAUCCCCGAGCCUGUAGCUUCGCAAUGAGAUCUAUAAAACAGAGGAAACAGAGUAAACGGAGUAAGCAUUACAAUGCUUAGUAAGUUUUAAGCAGUGUCAACAGAUAACAAUCAAAUUAUAACAUAGUUGUUCGUAUUUUUAUUUUACUCUUCCUUCGGGCAUACCAUCCCUUUACCGAAUCUGCACAUCUCAUCAUAUACAAUAGGCAGAUAAACUUUCACAUAAAAGUGAGCUCAUGUGACAUAGAUAUAUCGUAUGAUUUCACAUCACCUCUCACACUGAUCCGAUGUCACAUAAUCAUAGGAAUAGUCUCAUAGAUUGCUUUCAUAUGCAUCACAUAACUACCUUAUGAUUUAGUGCAAAUCAAGCUCACAUAUAAACUUGAAGUACAUACCUGUUUAACCUUUCGCAUUGAAUAUAUUUAUAAGCAAUUCUUAUUACGAAGUCUUACCCAGACAUAAU